AUUGAACGCUGGCGGCAUGCUUUACACAUGCAAGUCGGACGGCAGCACAGAGAAGCUUGCUUCUUGGGUGGCGAGUGGCGAACGGGUGAGUAACAUAUCGGAACGUACCGAGUAGUGGGGGAUAACUAAUCGAAAGAUUAGCUAUACCGCAUAUUCUCUGAGGAGGAAAGCAGGGGACCUUCGGGCCUUGCGUUAUUCGAGCGGCCGAUAUCUGAUUAGCUAGUUGGUGGGGUAAAGGCCUACCAAGGCAACGAUCAGUAGCGGGUCUGAGAGGAUGAUCCGCCACACUGGGACUGAGACACGGCCCAGACUCCUACGGGAGGCAGCAGUGGGGAAUUUUGGACAAUGGGCGCAAGCCUGAUCCAGCCAUGCCGCGUGUCUGAAGAAGGCCUUCGGGUUGUAAAGGACUUUUGUCAGGGAAGAAAAGGUUGUUGCUAAUAUCGACAGCUGAUGACG
rnacentral:rRNA from 1 species